GUGCUCACUUUGGCAGCACAUGUACUGAAAGUGGAACAAUAUAGAAAAGAUUAGCAUGGCCUCUGCACAAGGAUGAAUUUGUGAAACAUUGAAAAUUAUACUUAUUU